GUGGGGAAGACAAGGAGAUAAAGAGAGAACUAGUGAGAGAGGCUGUAGUCAUCCUGAUAGAUAUAGCAGCAGGAAUGAUUUAGGGAACCAGGGAGGAUCCAAUGAGAAUUCAAGAGAGGACAGCCUCAGAAAUCCUGCACUGCUCUUCACAAUCUCAGUUCCUCUCAAGAUACCCGAGUUGUGACCAUUAUUAAUAGGACUAAUAGUGUUCAGUCAGUCAGUGCCUUUUAUUUGGGAUUUCCCUCCAAACCCUCUCAACCAGCAGCAACUUACUGCAGAAGGGUGUUGGGGAAAAGGAACCUACAGAAUCAGCCCCUACUGACAGGAGCCCUCCAGCUGGCUCUAUUCAAGGAAAAUCAAUCGAGGGGCAGAGAAUGUGGAAGAAACCCAGAAGAUAAGGAGCUCUAAAGGGGCAUGUUGCUGAUAGGCUUAGGGAGAAGCAGGCUUUGGGAAAGGAAAGUGACUAGUUCCAGCAGUCACAGCAGUCACAGCAGCAGCAGCAGCAGUAGCAGCAGCAGCAGCAGCAACAGCAGCAGCAGCAGUCUGCUUCUUGGAUGAAUUCCAUUUGCAAUCCACUUAAAGGGAUUGCCUUCCUUCUGAAACCACAAGUUCCCUUAUGAGAAGCGGAUGAGGGUUGGGAAAAGCACCUACGAUUGUGUUUUGGGAAUUCCAGGGGACUAUCCCUUGGGAGCAAAGGCAAUGUCGUGAUCAAGCCUUCCUCCUCUCCUUUCCCAAUGCCCCUAUUUUUGCCUUCGUGCUUGAUUUCUAACGAGAGGAAAAUUAGAAAUGGCUCUCUCCUGAAUGCAUUUAUCUUGCAAUUUUCCUAAUCCUGAUUCCUCAGCCUGAAACUGAACAAACGAUCGUAUGAUCGAUUGGAGACUGAAGCGCCGGAUGAUCGAGGGAAUAAACAUUUGCCCUAGUUCAAAAUGUUCUUGGCUUCAUUCCAAUCCUAAUGAUAUCUCUGGCCAGAUAGAUUUCUGCAGUCAACUCAUUUUACCAAGAGGGCUAUGGGUGUUGUUCUCGGGGUUUGGAGGAAGUGGGAAAAUGGGGAGGUCUGGGGGUGGGAGGAGCAGAAAUUAGAAGACUACAGAAUGAAAGAGAAACAAUCAACUGCAAUAAAUUAUUUAAAAUUUUUAAAUGAAGAAUUAUGAAGCAUUUUAGUGAGCAAAAGAUCAUAAGAUGUUCUCUAAAGCAACUGGACACCAGCUGUUCUCUUUUAAUGUUCAUAGUAGUCCAGAUGUAUGUAGAGCUAGUAACAUCUCACCUGAACUUUUUAAAAUUAGAAUAUUAUAACAUUCAUUUUUGGAAGAAUGUAUGUGAGACCGUUCUCAAAUAUUUAAUCAUAAUUUUUAAAAGUCACAGAAUAAGGGUGUUAUUGUUCAUCGAUUGUAUGGUAUACGAUUACUAAACUUUAAAAUGUGUCAUUUCAUUUUGCUCAAGGAUUUUAAGUACUAGACUCAGGGUCUGUUCAGAUGUGAUCACUGUUUAUGUAGAACCAUAAGGCCACUCUAACUAGGCUCUCUCAACCCACCCACCUGCUUACCUAUUCCUUUCCCCUGCUACAAGAUACUUAAUAUUCUUUAGAAUUUAGAAGCCUUUUAAAAUUUAUACAUUUUAUUAGCAAAUGAUUUAUCUGGUAAGUAUAAUACACUUCAUUUGCAGGUGGUUCCUUGUAAAAUUUUGUGGAUUGGCAAUAUUUUAUGUGAGAUAUACUGCCACCUUAAGUGCCUGGAUCCUACUUAACACAUUCUUGUCUAUCAUCUAAUCGUCUACCAUAAUUUCUGUUCUAAAAACUACAUUCUGGAUAUGUUCUGUUAGAGAAACCAUACUUGAGUAUUUGAAAUGCUUAGAGGAGCAAUACCUCCAAACUACCUGAGCAUUUUAAGAAAUCAUCUUAGAAAUUAUGGUUAAAUCAAGGUAAUUAAGCUCUGAAUUGCUUAUGUUGGUUAUGGUCUUUCAUAGGAAAGGAAGAAAGUUCAAAGCAUGUAUAUGAAAUGUGCAUAUUUCCUUCGAUAGGAAGAAAUAAGUAAGCAUACUAUUUUUAGUAAUUCUAUCACGUAUGCUUUUUUUUUGGUCUCUAAAGCUCCUCAAAAGUCUGAAUGUUUUAAAGCUUUAAUGCCUCUUAUUUCCCCCCCUAACUCAUGCAUCUUAAAAGCAACCUGACUGGAACUAUGAAGGUAUGCUAUGGAGAAAUCAGCCUCCAAAAUAUAAAAACAUAUAUUCUAAACAUAGAAUUUUGGAGCUGGAAUGUAUCUUAGAGCUCACUCAAUAUAAUGCCCUCAUUUUAGAUGCCCAAGGAAACAGAGCUAGAGAACCAGAAAACUUAGACUCACAGGAACACAGACAUAGAUCCAUAACCAAAACUUGAAGGGACCUGAGGUCAUACAUUCCAACCUGAGGAACCUCAGGGUCAGGGAGGUUUAGUGACUUACCCAAGAUUAAAUAAGCAGUUAGUGGCAGUUCCUGUGACUAGAACAAAGGAAACAAGUAUUUAUAAAGCACCUAAUAUUUCCAACCACUCUGCUGAGAGGGCUAACUAUAUUACCUCAUUUGAUUCUCACAACAGACUUAGUAUAUAGGAGCUAUUCUUCACAAUUUACAGCUGAGGAAACUGAGGCAGACAGAAGGUGACUUGCCAAAGUCACACAACUAGUAAGUAGUGAAACUGGAUUUAAACUCAGCUCUUUCUUACUCCAGAACCAUCAAGUACUCUUUCCACUGCAUCACCUGGCUAGUGUAAGCCAAGUCCCUUCAAAAUUAAAUCCUUUCAAGUAUUUGGUGGAUAUCAAAUUCAUAUCACUCAAACUUUUUUUCAUUCCUCCCCAUUUUUCCUCCUAUACAGAAGGACCACUUUUAUUUCUCAUCGUGUCAUUCAUGUGAUUGGACUCUCAAAUGUCUGAAGAGGAUAAGUUCUAGCAGGUUUUAGCAAGCUAGAAAUAUUUCUAAGUCUCACUUGGAUGUCAUCUUGAGUCCAGAAGUAUUCAAUCUUCAACAAGAAGGUUAGCCACCAAUUGACAAACCUUCUGUACAUGUCACCUCAUGAAGGCAAUUUGCUAAAGCAUGGAGGGUUGUGAUCUGGAUUUGUUAUUUGAGUACCCACAAGGAUGACAUCAUUGAUACCCUCAAAUAUUUAAAUGAAAAAUAAAUGUUUCUUUCAUACUUUCUUAUGAACUGUAUAGUCCUUCAAGGUGGAAUCUUGCAUUUUUUAAACAAAUAAGUCACUGCUCUUUGUGCUUUCUGUAUAUAGAACACCAUAUUAUCCCCAAACUUAUCCAAAUGACUGCCUCAAAUUCUACCCAGUUGAGAUUUGAUACUCUUAUCAUGUCACCUCCCUUUUCUUUGAAGUUUAUAAAAUGUUCUACUAAUCUAGAAAAUAGGAUAAUUCAAGAGAGGGAAAAAGGUAUCAUCUACAAAUAAAUUUUAUCUAAUACCUAAUCAACUGUAAGGAAAAGGAGUUUCCUAAGUCUUUAGUAAAUGUGAAUUAGGUUAUACGAACAGAAAAACUAAGAUGAUGUUUCUAUAAACUUUAAUAAACUUUAAAAAAAUGA